UACGUAGGGUGCGAGCGUUGUCCGAAAUUAUUGGGCGUAAAGGGCUCGUAGGCGGUUUGUCGCGUCUGCCGUGAAAGUCCGGGGCUCAACUCCGGAUCUGCGGUGGGUACGGGCAGACUAGAGUGAUGUAGGGGAGACUGGAAUUCCUGGUGUAGCGGUGAAAUGCGCAGAUAUCAGGAGGAACACCGAUGGCGAAGGCAGGUCUCUGGGCAUUAACUGACGCUGAGGAGCGAAAGCAUGGGGAGCGAACAGG
rnacentral:rRNA from 1 species